CCUACGGGAGGCAGCAGUAGGGAAUCUUCCACAAUGGGCGAAAGCCUGAUGGAGCAACGCCGCGUGGGUGAAGAAGGUCUUCCGAUCGUAAAACCCUGUUGUUAGAGAAGAAAGUGCGCGAGAGUAACUGUUCACGUUUCGACGGUAUCUAACCAGACAGCCACGGCUAACUACGUGCCAGCAGCCGCGGGAAUACGUAGGUGGCAAGCGUUAUCCGGAUUUAUUGGGCGUAAAGGGAACGCAGGCGGUCUUUUAAGUCUGAUGUGAAAGUCUUCGGCUUAACCGGAGUAGUGCAUUGGAAACUGGGAGACUGGAGUGCAGAAGAGGAGAGUGGAACUCCAUGUGUAGCGGUGAAAUGCGUAGAUAUAUGGAAGAACACCAGUGGCGAAGGCGGCUCGCUGGACUGUAACUGACGCUGAGGUUCGAAAGCGUGGGUAGCAAACAGGAUUAGAUACCCGAGUAGUC
rnacentral:rRNA from 1 species